rnacentral:lncRNA from 1 species
AUAAAGGCAGACCUGUGCUUGACAUGGAUUGAUCUGUCUUCUGGCAGUGAAGUGCAGGCAUGAACCUUGGUCAGCCCCACACUCUUCUCCAUCCGUAGCCCAUGUACUAGAGUUUGGACUUGGACCGAAGUCUGGGGCAGCUCCCUAAUUACUAGGGUGCUGAAGGCGUGAUUGUGCCAGUCGACUGCGAGUUCCUUCCGCAGCUUGUAUCGUU